CUAUGAUCAAACCGCACGUCUUGUUAAGUUUGUCCUACGGUCUUAACCGUAGUUCAUGUUGCUAUGACAAUUCCAUACUGGCUUGGGCAAGAACAGGGAGCUAACAGUUAUCGUACCUCAGCUAGAAAACCUUCUGGUCUAAUAAGGCAGUUGCUAAUGCGCGAUAGGCCUACUUCAGUUUUAGCGUGAGCAUAAUUUCAUUACGGCGAAUUGUAACCUUACUCUCCAUCUCAGACACUGGGAACCGUAAUGGUAGAGAAAUGACGCCCAUUACCUUGAGACUUGAAGAGUUUUGGGGUAAAUUUAGCUAAAUGAUGGUUGAGUGUGGGCCGGACUGCUGUAGCUGCUGUGGGAGUGUGUCGGUGUGUGACUACUGCAUGCUGUGUGCCGAGACCUGGAACUGCA